CAGUCGAGCGACUGAUUAGAAGCUUGCUUCUAUGACGUUAGCGGCGGACGGGUGAGUAACACGUGGGCAACCUGCCUGUAAGACUGGGAUAACUUCGGGAAACCGAAGCUAAUACCGGAUAGGAUCUUCUCCUUCAUGGGAGAUGAUUGAAAGAUGGUUUCGGCUAUCACUUACAGAUGGGCCCGCGGUGCAUUAGCUAGUUGGUGAGGUAACGGCUCACCAAGGCAACGAUGCAUAGCCGACCUGAGAGGGUGAUCGGCCACACUGGGACUGAGACACGGCCCAGACUCCUACGGGAGGCAGCAGUAGGGAAUCUUCCGCAAUGGACGAAAGUCUGACGGAGCAACGCCGCGUGAGUGAUGAAGGCUUUCGGGUCGUAAAACUCUGUUGUUAGGGAAGAACAAGUACGAGAGUAACUGCUCGUACCUUGACGGUACCUAACCAGAAAGCCACGGCUAACUACGUGCCAGCAGCCGCGGUAAUACGUAGGUGGCAAGCGUUAUCCGGAAUUAUUGGGCGUAAAGCGCGCGCA
rnacentral:rRNA from 2 species